rnacentral:rRNA from 1 species
AACGAACGCUGGCGGCAGGCCUAAUACAUGCAAGUCGAACGAAGCCUUCGGGCUUAGUGGCGCACGGGUGCGUAACGCGUGGGAACGUACCCCUGGGUGCGGAACAACGUCGGGAAACUGACGCUAAUACCGCAUAAUGACUCCGGUCCAAAGAUUUAUCGCCCAGGGAUCGGCCCGCGUUAGAUUAGCUAGUUGGUGGGGUAAUGGCCUACCAAGGCUACGAUCUAUAGCUGGUCUGAGAGGAUGAUCAGCCACACUGGGACUGAGACACGGCCCAGACUCCUACGGGAGGCAGCAGUAAGGAAUAUUGGACAAUGGAGGAAACUCUGAUCCAGCCAUGCCGCGUGAGUGAUGAGGGCCUUGGUUGUAAAGCUCUUUCAGGUGCGACGAUGAUGACGGUAACACCAGAAGAAGCCCUGGCUAACUUCGUGCCAGCAGCCGCGGUAAUACGAAGGGGGCGAGCGUUGUUCGGAAUCACUGGGCUUAAAGCGUGCGGU